rnacentral:rRNA from 1 species
GACAGAGGGGGCAAGCGUUGCUCGGAAUUACUGGGCGUAAAGGGCGCGUAGGCGGGAUGGCAAGUCGGUCGUGAAAUCCUUCGGCUCAACCGAAGAACGUCGAUCGAUACUGCUGUUCUUGAGGGUUGCAGAGGAGACUGGAAUUCCCGGUGUAGCGGCGAAAUGUGUAGAGAUCGGGAGGAACACCGGUGGCGAAGGCGGGUCUCUGGGCAAUUCCUGACGCUGAGGCGCGAAAGCGUGGGGAGCAAACGGG